rnacentral:rRNA from 1 species
UACGUAGGGUGCGAGCGUUGUCCGGAAUUACUGGGCGUAAAGAGCUCGUAGGCGGUUUGUCGCGUCUGCCGUGAAAGUCCGGGGCUCAACUCCGGAUCUGCGGUGGGUACGGGCAGACUAGAGUGAUGUAGGGGAGACUGGAAUUCCUGGUGUAGCGGUGAAAUGCGCAGAUAUCGGGAGGAACACCGGUGGCGAAGGCGGGUCUCUGGGCCGGUACUGACGCUGAGGAGCGAAAGCGUGGGGAGCGAACAGG